rnacentral:tRNA from 1 species
GCCGGAGUGGCGGAACUGGUAGACGCGACGGACUCAAAAUCCGUUUCUCGAAAGGGAGUGUGGGUUCAAGUCCCUCCUCCGGCACCA